rnacentral:RNase_P_RNA from 1 species
CCAGGGGGCCGGGCGACCGCGAGUGCUUCAAACAUUCGAGGAAAGUCCGGGCUCCACGGAACGACGGUGCCGGGUAACGCCCGGCCACUCCUUUUCAGGGGUGAGGGACAGUGCCACAGAAAGCAUUCCGCCCAUCUUCGGGUGGGUCAGGGCGAAAGGGUGCGGUAAGAGCGCACCGCGCGCUCGGCAACGAGGGCGGCACGGUAAACCCCACCGGGAGCAAGACCGAAUAGGGGUGUCAUUUGGGCCAGUUCCGGCCCGACGCCCGGGUUGGUUGCUCGAGCCGUGAAGCAAUUCACGGCCUAGACGAAUGGUCGCCUAUUCCCCGCGUUUGUUCGUGGGGAUGGACAGAACCCGGCUUACAGGCCUCCUGGCGCU